GAGUUGCAGGUAAAGAGUUUAGUGAGAAAGAGGGACUAAAAAAGGAAUGAUGGCAGGGGAGAGUUCAAGCAGGAAGAUGGGUUUUCCCAAUGACUAUGGCUUCACUAACAUCUUGUUUUCAUGGUCUCUUGAAGACAUAUUCAAUGAAAAUCUUUUCCAGGUGGACAAGAUUCCAGAAUCAUUUGAAUCGGUUAAGCAUUAUUUUGAAUCAUAUUUACUUCCUUUAUUGGAAGAGACACGAGCACAAUUGCAUUCGAGCAUGGAGAUUAUUUCCGAAGCACCAUUUGCUGAAGUGGUCAGCUUCUCUGAGUGCAAGCCUCAUGAUAAGUUAUUGUAUGAUGUUAAGGUUGAUCACUGGAGAAACAGGUUCAAUGAUCGUGGGAAGGAGCCUUACAAUACAUUGCCCGGAGAUAUUGUUGUUCUGGCAAAUGCUAAACCUGAAACUUUCUCUGAUUUGCAAAGGGUAGGAAGGACAUGGGCUUUUGCAAUGGUUACUAACAUCACAGAGGAUGAGAAUGAGGAUGCUAGCACAUCUACUUAUUUUAAAGUGCAGGCAUCAAAACCUGUUGAAGUUAGGGAGGGGUUGCAGAACUCACUGGUUGUGAUUUUCUUGAUAAAUGCAACCACUAAUAAAAGAAUCUGGAAUGCAUUGCACAUGCAUGGAAACUUGAAUAUCAUCAAGGAAUUUCUGUCUGCUGAUUCUGUGGUCAGGGAAAAUUGUGCCCUCUGUUCUGUUAGGAAGAAUGAAGUCUGGGAUGCAAAAUGUGCUAUGAAUUUAUCAUCAAUGUUGAAUGAAUCCCAAACUGAGGCUGUAUUAGCUAGCCUUGAGAAAAUGCAGUGCAAUCACAAGUCCUCUGUGGAACUCAUUUGGGGCCCUCCGGGGACGGGGAAGACUAAAACUGUUAGCAUACUACUCUUUAACCUUUUAAGAAUGAAAUGUAGGACCCUGACUUGUGCUCCAACUAAUGUUGCAGUUGUGGAAGUGGCAACUAGGGUAUUAAAGUUGGCAAUAGAAUCUCAUGAAAAAGACUCAGAAGCAGAUGCUUUGAUUUAUUCUGCAGGAGAUAUUCUUCUAUUUGGGAAUAAAGAAAGGCUGAAAGUGAAUUCGGAAAUUGAAGAAAUAUAUUUGGAUUAUCGUGUUGAAAGGCUUAUAGAGUGUUUUGCACCUUUGACUGGAUGGUGGCAUUGUUUGACUUCAACAAUAGAUUUUUUUGAAGAUUGUGUUUCUCAGUACAAUGUUUUCUUGGAAAAUGAAUUGAUCAAAGAGAAGGACCGCAAUCAUGAAAGUGAAAACAAAGAGAAAAAAUUCAGCAGUAAAACAGAAGUUGAAUUUGAGGGGAAUAAAUCAUUUCUUGAUUUUGUGAGAGAAAGAUUCAAGUCUACUGCAUUACCUCUGAAAAAUUGUCUCCUUAGUUUAUGCACACAUAUAUCUGAAAGUUACAUUCUGAAACAUAAUCGACAAAACAUUACAUCCCUUGUUGGGUUCCUUGAUAGUUUUGACUCUUUGCUAUCUCGGGAUGAUGUAAUCUCUGAAGACAUAGAGGAGGUUUUUGCAUGUCCAGAGUUAGUUGAGGAUUAUUCUCAAGGUUUUUCAGAUAUACUAUUGAUGUUGUGCUUGAGGAGAAGAGACUGCCUUUCUUUGUUAAAAUCUCUGCGUAAUUCUCUCAGAGAACUUAAUCUACCAAGUGCAAUGAACAAGAGUUCAAUAGUCAAAUUCUGUUUUGAGAAAGCCUCUUUAAUUUUCUGCACAGCAUCAAGUUCAUAUAAACUGCAUUCAUUGGCAAUAGAACCACUGAAUUUACUGGUAAUUGAUGAAGCAGCCCAACUUAAAGAAUGUGAAUCAGCAAUACCCCUAAAAAUUCCUGGUCUUAGGCAUGCCAUUCUUAUUGGUGAUGAGUGCCAAUUACCAGCUACGGUGGAAAGCAAAGUACAUAAAUACUCCAUCUUAUAUAUAUUACCUUUCGUAUUCAAAACGAGUUAGGUUGUAUUUAUUUCUACAACAUAGCUUCUCAUUUCUUUCAUUUUUUGUAGGCUUCUGAUAAAAGUGGCUUUGGAAGAAGUUUAUUUGA
rnacentral:misc_RNA from 1 species